rnacentral:tmRNA from 1 species
GGGGGUGCAUGGUUUCGACUUCGGUCGUCAAGACGGGAGAAGCGAGCCGUGGUCUCCGGAUCCACGUGAAAGAGCCGGAACCCUAAACAAACGCCAACGACAAGCCGUCGUUUGCACUCGCUGCCUAACUAGCAGCGACGUUCGCCCGGUCUCCGCCCUGUGGGCCGGAUACGAGCGUCAUCCAGCAGGGCUCACCUGCCGGGUCUCGUCAGUGGGCCCGACGGGGACACUUCAGCUGACUGGGGCGGUCGCCGCCCGCCGGCGAGUUGCGACCGCCCGAGAUCACCUUCGCCGGCUGCGCUCGGAGAAGGCCCGUUGCGAACCCGAAGCACGAGGGUUCGAUUCCCUCCACCUCCACUA